rnacentral:lncRNA from 1 species
AAGGGGAUAAUUACUCUUAUCCAUUGAGUUGUUGUGAAAACCAAGGACAUUAAUUGAUGUGAGAUUAGUAAAUUCAGCAGUCCCAUUCUCAGCCCAUACACUGUGCUUAUAACCAGCCCUACCUCUAAGCAUCAUUUGCAUCUACAUCUGCCGUACUCAUUUGAUUAUUACCUUACUUGAAGUUAUGCUUUUCUUGAUUUUUUUUUUUUAAUUAGUGUCACCUUGAAGAAAGCCUCUUUUGAAUGGCUUUGCAGGUCAUGUGCACUGCCCAGCACUGGGGAGGGUCACUAUUCAUUUGGCCACGUGGUGAACAGCUUGUGGUUGUGUGUUGUACAGGGUCUGACUCAAGUGCCUGGCAGCCUGCUCUCUCUGUGAAUAUUAAACAUCAGGGAUUCUGUUUUCUAUUCCUGAUAUGUAAGGCCUGUCCUAGGGCAUACAGUAUUACUAAAUACUGGAUUCUGGGCUCUGGAUUGAAAAUUGUGCACUCUAUGAUUCAGUCUCAGGCCCAGCUUUCAGCCUCCCAUUUCAUCUUUGAUUGGACUGUCCUGGUCACACUCUUGGCAGAAUCCAUAAGCCACAGAAGUUUUCUGGUGAAGAGGAGUUUUGGGUCAUCAUGAUUUCAAAGUAAAAGUUAGUAAAAAACUUGGCAAGCCCACUGUUUGUACUUUGUUGUUUUAAUCUCAAAAUCCUUGUAAAUGAAGAUAUAUCAACAGCCAGGCUUGAAAGCAGAGGAAAAAAAAAUCACACACAUUUAUCCUAAACUCUUUCCCCCACUCCAGUUGUUAGGGAGAUUUUAUAUCAUCUGUGAAAUGUCAUAGUCUGACCUCUACUUGUUUCUGGAUGGGCUUUGGUUUCCUCAUCUGCAUAAUGGAACUAACCCUGUCCACUUCUCUGGAUUACUAAAGAGAUAUCUUGGGAAAGUACUGAGGUCCAGAGCCUGACCCCUAACAUGUGCUCAGACAGGAUUGGUAAGAGUUCCCCUUGUGGCUCAGUGGUUAAUGAACCUGACUAGUAUCCAUGAGGCUAUGGGUUCUAUCCCUGGCCUUGGUCAGUGGGUUAAGGAUCCAGCGUUGCCGUGACUGGUGGUGGGUGGUAUGAAGCCCAUCUUUCUCAUUCUCUGGUGAUGUUUUUUGUCAUUGGAUAGCUUUGGCGUAGAACCAUACCUCACACGAGAGAGGGGAAAAAAAAAAAAUCAAUUCCUCUGAAACUUCCACUAUGGGACCCCUGGGCAAGGAAGGAGUGUCUUCCAGUUUCCUGGCCUCCCCGCUAGUAAGGACAGGCAGCAGAAGGCCUUGCUGUGGUCAGAGGGCCGAGGAGCCAGACAAGCCUCUGUGGUUACGCACUUAUUUAUUUCCUUAUUUAUUACUUUUGCAGCUAACAUUUUUACAAUCAUGUUAUUUUGUGGUUUGUUUGCGAAAUGCAUUGUGAGCCAAGUUUGCGUCAAAUGUUCUCUGAGUUGGAAGAGGGUUGCAUUGGGGAGCCCAGGGAGAGGUGAGUGGAGGGCAAGAAAGCAGUUAUAAAAAAUGUUACAUAAUUGAUAUAUCUGUUAAAGAUCCUUUCUUUGUAAUCAGGCUACCCAAGGCAGAUGGAGGAAUGAAAACUGAGAAAACAUUGUAGGCUCUCAAGAAGUAGUAGGGACAGGCUUGGCAAUCUCAGAGGUGAAAUGGGGCCACAGCCUGGGGACUCGGGGAAAGAAAUCCGGGAAGAAACCCUGCUCCUGCUCACGGAACCCCAAGCACCAAAAAGGCAUCUUUUGAAAGACUUUGGGAAAGAGUAGAAGUUGGUUCUAGAGGAGUGAUGAAUAAUUAAUUAAUUCAUACGUGUUAUUAUUAGGGAGCUUAUUAUAAUCGUUUUUUGAAGAUUUUAAUAUAAACAAAAACCCAGUUUUCAGAGAUUAGCUGAAAUGGGGCUCAAGCGAUGCUCUCCCAGAGCUGUUUUCUUUUUAACUCUAUAUUCGUCUUUUCUCGCCCCCAGGCAGUAGUAGAUUCCUGAGAGGCUGCCCUGUUGUUGCUGAAGCUCAUUUUGCCUGUAUUCAAGUUUGUUCUUGUAUUAUUCCAUCUGGUUGCUCCCCAAACCACUUUCCUUUUUUACUCUCCUUGUAAAUAUUUACAUAAGAAGGUUUUUGCAGAAUCUUAUAUUGGUGGAUUGGCGCAAAGAGUUUUUGAUGUGUUUCAUUCCUUUUACGAACAAUUUGGUUAAGUGGAUUUCCUCCCAGCUCAUUGAAAUAAAAUCCUUUCAAUUUAAUAACAUCAUCAGACACUAAAUAACAUCAGAGGGAAAAAUAAGUUUGCAUGGCAUAGCCUCGAGUGGAUCUCAGCUGCUCUGUAGCUGUUAAUGGUUGAUGCAGAAACGGGUGAUUAUAGUGGAGGGCUGGAUGCUGUGAAUGCGAGCGUUUAAAGGCCUCCUCUUCCUAGGCAGGACAAGAACUUGGGCUGUUUUCUGGGUUGGCUGGGUGGAUGAGAGAUCAGGGCAACUGAAUCAUGAGAUUAAGACACGGUUCCCAAACUUCAGACACCAGCUCAUCUUGCCACCUGCCCUAAGGCUCUUGUCUUUGCUUCUUCUUCUCUGCCCUCCCUCUUGGACAAGUUCAUCCUUGCCACAGCUUUAAUAAAUACCUCUCCACAGGUAAAGUCAAACCUGCUUCUUUAGUUUGACCUCUUUUCUAAGCCCCAGUUCUGUAUUUUUAGCUCUUUUAGACAUUUCGGCAAGAACCAUCACUAUCUUAAUUCCACAGGCCCAAAGCCAACCUUAUCUCCAUCUGGACCUGGUCCUAGUCUGACUCCUGGGAACGUAGCCUCCCAUCUCCACCUAAACCAGCAGCAUUCACUCAGACACCUCGUUCCUAAGCUGUCACAUUUGACUCCUCCCUCUUUAUUGCUAAGUCCAAUAAAUUACAUUGCUAUUGUUUUUGACACCUCAUAGAGACUUACCUGGGUUUAUUGCUUAUCUCUGUUUCUAUCUUGGCUGUCAUUGCCUUAGGUUUCUUUAGGUUUCUUUCUUUCUUCCUUUCUUUCUUUCUUUCUUCCUUUCUUUCUUUCUUUCUCUUCCUUCCUCCCUCCCUCCCUCCCUCCCUCUCCUUCCUUCCUUCCUUCCUUCCUUCCUUCCUUCCUUCCUUCCUUCUUUUUUCUGGCCAUGCCUGCAGCAUGUGGAAGUUCCUGGGCCAGGGAUGGAACAUGAGCCACAGCAGAGACAAUGCCAAGUCCUUAACCACUAGGCUGCCAGAGAACUCCUGCUCUAGGUUUCUUUACAUUUUAUAUAUUCAUUUAUCUAUAUGCUCAUGCAUUCAACACAGAAAUUCAUUGAAUAUUUCCUAUAUGCUAGCUAUCUAGUGGGUGGUGAGGAUACUGAAUGUGGCGUUCCCACUGUAGCACAGUGGGUUAAGAUUCCAACUGCAGACUGCAGUGGCUCAGGUUGCUACAGAGGUUUGGGUUUGAUCCCCAGCCCAGCACAGUGGGUUAAAGGAUCCAGGGUUCCUGCAGCUGUGGCAUAGGUCACAGCUGUGGCUCAGAUUCAGUCCCUGGCCAGGGAAUUUCUAUAUGCCGAGGGCGCAGCCCUUAAAAACAAAAACGAAAACACGAACAACAAAACAAAAGCAAAAACACAAACAAAACAAAACCAAAAUGAAACAAAAUACAAAACCAAAACCCAAACCCCAGUGAGCAUAGUGUGAUCACAGGAGCAAAUCAAGGGAGGCUACAGGUUUCUCUGUCUAUGACUCUUCUAAGAUGCUUGCAACCCACUGUUGUCAUAUUUAUUUAUCUGACCCUGUUGCUUUCCUUCUCAAAUGCCAUCAGCUCCUUUUGCCAUUGCUUACUCAUUUCAUGUCAUUCAUCAUUUAUAUAUUUUUGUGCUUCUACCAUCUGUUUAUUAUCUCCAUUCUCUUGCCAUUUCGGUUCCUUCUUCCUUUGUAAUUUUUUUUUUUUUUUCGGCUCAUGACAUCCAGAAAUUCUUCACUUGGUUAAUUAAAAACAACUUCAUUCAUGCAGGUAUCCAUGCUUCUCGGAAGACCUUCCACUCCUCAUGGACUAUAACUUGCCAGCUUUCCCCCAUCCCCUCUUUUCACCUGUUCAUGCUCCAGGAGAGCAUGACAGCAUUUGAUACAGAUUAAUUUGGCUGUGAACUCUCCAUUCUGUAAUGCUAUCUUUGACCUAAACUUGGUAUUUACAGAGAGUCUUCCUUGAGUUAAAACCCCUGCUUUCCCUAACACAUACUCUUUGAUUUGCUUGAUCCCUCCCAGCCUUGGUCACUUUUGCCUAGGAAAGAGCCUGCCUCUUAUAAGCUGCAGUUCGCAGAAGCUUCUGUUAACCUGAGCUUCUUGGUCAGUACCAGACUGUGCCAGAGCAGAAUAUGCCGAAGAGAUAGUUUCCAUAUGACUAUUUAUUAUGUGACCUAGAAUAUAAAGCUGGGCAGUAAUAUCUUCAUAAGAAAUGUACUGUUCUGUAGUCCUUCUUCUUUUUUUUUUUUUUUUUUGUCUUUUUGCCAUUUCUUGGGCCGCUCCCACGGCACAUGGAGGUUCCCAGGUAGGGGUCGAAACAGAGCUGUAGCCGCCGGCCUACGCCAGAGCCACAGCAACACGGGACCCGAGCCACGUCUGCAACCUACACCACAGCUCACGGUAAUGCCGGAUAGUUAAGCCACUGAGCAAGGGCACGGAUUGAACCUGCAACCUCAUGGUUCUUAACCACUGCGUCACGAUGGGAACUCCUCUGUAUUCCUUCUUUGUCUUUGUCCAAUUUGCAGAUGAGGAAGGACAAAGUUUAAAGAAUAAUAUCUUGUACGUGUUGUAAUGAAUUAGAAGAGAUGAUAGAGAUGUUAGAAACUGGUUUUUAAUGAACCCAAAUUUUAACAUUUGAUCUCCUAGAUGUGUGUGACUGCAAUAAAAAUUUGUUGGAUGAUGUGAUGUUUUGUCUGUCCAGUUAGUCUGCUUUGUUUUAAUUUUCUUCCUGUUUAGUGUCUCCUCACCCCACCCC